GUCUGGCAUCACACCGCUUGACUUUUGCACCCAACAUUUUCAGAAUCUCAAAAAUUCCUACGUUAGGAUCAUCUAUAAAAUAUUGAUACAUUAAAUACAAGUGAGACUGUGUAACCGAAUCGGUAACGCGGCAGAGUUUGACGCGCAAUGACUCAGUUUGAAACUUGGUCACGGGAGGUUUCAUUUAACAAGCUAGAAAUCAGUUCGGUAAUUGGAGUUCACCUUCUCUCACUCCGGCCACUAACUAAGGGGUUAUGUUUGAAAAACAAAAUGGAAAGACAUGUUAUUAUUUCAAUGUAAUAUAUUUAAGCUAUUAAUUUUUUUGUAAAUAUCAACGUUAAAAGAAUGUUUAUAUAAAAUGUAUGAGCUUUUUGAAUUUGAAAGAAAAUUAAAUUUUUUAUUAUUA